rnacentral:rRNA from 1 species
UACGUAGGGUGCGAGCGUUAAUCGGAAUUACUGGGCGUAAAGAGCGCGUAGGCGGCCCUGUAAGUCCGCUGUGAAAGUCAAAGGCUCAACCUUUGAAAGCCGGUUGAUACUGCAGGGCUAGAGUCCGGAAGAGGCGAGUGGAAUUCCUGGUGUAGCGGUGGAAUGCGCAGAUAUCAGGAGGAACACCAAUAGCGAAGGCAGCUCGCUGGGACGGUACUGACGCUAAGGCGCGAAAGCGUAGGGAGCGAACAGG